rnacentral:piRNA from 1 species
UCCAAUGUUGAAGGAUGUUCACUGUUGCAG